GUCGCAAACGUCGGCCGGUGCACACCAUGUUGCGUGCUGUUCUGCGAUUUCUGAGAGAGGCAGUGGAUAUGUGCUUCUCAAUCAAGGAGCUUUUGUCAAACCGGAUUUGCUUCAGAUCACGGAAGCUUGGGUUGAUGGA